GUCCACGCCGUAAACGAUGGAUACUAGCUGUUGGGAGCAAUCUCAGUGGCUAAGCGAAAGUGAUAAGUAUCCCACCUGGGGAGUACGUUCGCAAGAAUGAAACUCAAAAGGAAUUGGACGGGGGCCCGCACAAGCGGUGGAGCAUGUGGUUUAAUUCGAUGAUACGCGAGGAACCUUACCAAGGCUUAAAAUGUAGUUUGACCGUUUUUGGAAAACAGAAACUUUCGCAAGAACAAAAUUAACAAAGGUGCUGCAUGGUUGUCGU
rnacentral:rRNA from 1 species